GACGAACGCUGGCGGCGUGCCUAAUACAUGCAAGUAGGACGCACAGUUUAUACCGUAGCUUGCUACACCAUAGACUGUGAGUUGCGAACGGGUGAGUAACGCGUAGGUAACCUGCCUAUUAGAGGGGGAUAACUAUUGGAAACGAUAGCUAAUACCGCAUAACAGUAUGUAACACAUGUUAGAUGCUUGAAAGAUGCAAUUGCAUCGCUAGUAGAUGGACCUGCGUUGUAUUAGCUAGUAGGUAGGGUAAAGGCCUACCUAGGCAACGAUACAUAGCCGACCUGAGAGGGUGAUCGGCCACACUGGGACUGAGACACGGCCCAGACUCCUACGGGAGGCAGCAGUAGGGAAUCUUCGGCAAUGGGGGGAACCCUGACCGAGCAACGCCGCGUGAGUGAAGAAGGUUUUCGGAUCGUAAAGCUCUGUUGUUAAGGAAGAACGAGUGUGAGAAUGGAAAGUUCAUACUGUGACGGUACUUAACCAGAAAGGGACGGCUAACUACGUGCCAGCAGCCGCGGUAAUACGUAGGUCCCGAGCGUUGUCCGGAUUUAUUGGGCGUAAAGCGAGCGCAGGCGGUUAGAAAAGUCUGAAGUGAAAGGCAGUGGCUCAACCAUUGUAGGCUUUGGAAACUGUUUAACUUGAGUGCAGAAGGGGAGAGUGGAAUUCCAUGUGUAACGGUGAAAUGCGUAGAUAUUAGGAGGAACACCGGCGGCGAAGGCGGCUUUCUGGACUGUAACUGACACUGAGGCACGAAAGCGUGGGUAGCAAACAGG
rnacentral:rRNA from 1 species